rnacentral:rRNA from 1 species
UACGAAGGGGGCUAGCGUUGUUCGGAAUUACUGGGCGUAAAGCGCGUGUAGGCGGGUCUUUUAAGUCAGGGGUGAAAUGCCAAGGCUCAACCUUGGAACUGCCUUUGAUACUGGAGACCUUGAGUCCGGGAGAGGUGAGUGGAAUUGCGAGUGUAGAGGUGAAAUUCGUAGAUAUUCGCAAGAACACCAGUGGCGAAGGCGGCUCACUGGCCCGGAACUGACGCUGAGACGCGAAAGCGUGGGGGAGCAAACAGG